ensembl:lncRNA
CACUAGCUCUUCCCUCCACACAUUGUCAUGUGAGAGAUAUGUAUCAUGAUCAGUGAAUAAUCACGUUGCCUCCUUCAAAGUCUGGCAGUGACUGUUCACUGCUCGUCUUUUAUUCAGUUCAUGCGCAUAUAGCAAACAUGUAGUUGUGUUACUGUAGUGGUGAUCCCAGAGGGGACCCAAGGCGUCUGGCACCAGCCUGCAUGCUCCAUCCAGACAGACACCAGCUGUAACGGCACCCCGGUAGGCCCCUCCCCCAAGCAAGCGAGCAACUGUCAACCAGUGACCGUUAACAGCCCAGCUCUGCCACUGGUUGAUUCCAUUGAAAGUCUCUUCCUUUUCCUCUAUUGUAUAUAAAAGGACCCUGAAUUCUGACUAAGGGAAGAUUUUUUGAGAGGCUUGUCUGUCACCUUCUCAAUUUGCUAGCCUUCCCACUAAAGUCAUUAUUCCUUGCUCCAACAACCCGUCUCCUGAUUUAUUGGCCUGCGUGUCCUGUGGUGAACAGGAGCUUGGACUCGGUAACAUUACCUUUUUAUCUCCCAGUGAUAGACUCAUGUAACAGUUUACGAAAAUGGCUAAUGAAGUAUAGUUACCAGUUUUACCAGUCUACCAGUUCUAAAGUGGUAGAGAGGGUGUGCUCUCUGAAGAGCAAAGAAAAGAAGGGAACAGUUAACUGUCUUGGAAGAGGGACUGACUCUCAGCUGCUGCUUGGACUGAUCUGAGGGGAUCACACACAGCUGAUUCUGAAACUGAUAAAAGAUGCUGGAAGGAUACACAUGAGAGCUGGAACGUCUCCCACUGGCAGUUAGUCUGGGAAAUGUAGUUCGCAGACACCCAGCGUUACAAAGCCAAAUAUAGAUGGUUCGGCGUGGGUCUGAGAGGCAGUAGGUCUUCGAAGAGGCAUGUCCACAGGACCACUGUCAUAAAUUUGCUGUACUUGUAAGUCAUGCCUUGAAAUAAAUGGACGCAUUGUUGCUGAAAUAUCUGCCAGAGAGUUCAUGGCCCAGUGCGGAAUGCAGAUGUCCUAGUAGGUAACUUCAAUACAGUAUGCGAAAUGUUGUAAUGGUUUCGUGAAGUUUAAAACAUGAAAUGGCUAACUGUCUGAAGGAGGUGCUGCAGGUUCCACACAGAGUAUGACACCUGAGCUGAGUAUUAAGGGGUGAGUAAAAAUCUGUCUGGUGGAGAAGGGAAGCUUAAGUAUUUUGGCACUAUUGAAAAAGGAUUUCUCCCUACAAAUUAUUUGUGUUUGCAGGGUUUGUUUGGUUAAGGCAGAGUCUAGAAAAUUGAACUACAAUUAUUGGUGAUUAUUCUUACGAUUGGUUAAGAAUUUACUGUCAAUGAUGUAGGCCUGGAAAUGCAAUGGGGACUGCCUAAGAGAAGAGGGAUGAAGCAUUUAGAUGGAAGUUUAAAUAUCUCUGGGUGACAGUACCAGGGAGCAACUUGGAAGGAGAGAUGACAGAACUGUGCUGAUCAAAUCUGGAGACUCAGAGAGAAGAGAAGAGGGAACACUGGCUGGGAAGGGGGAUGGGGGUUGGAGAGAUUCAUCAGGGGGUUGUGCAAAGAUUUGGAAAAGGAUAACCCGAAACCACUUCCCAGGUAGCUCCAUGGAUAAAGAAUUGCUUGCAAUGCAGGAGACACAAUAGACAUGGGUUCGAUCACUGGUCCAGGAAGGUCCCCUGGAAGAGGGCAUGGCAGCCCACUCCAAUAUUCUUGCCUAGAGAAUCCCAUGGACAGAGGAGCCUGGUGGGCUACAGUCUUUGUGGUCAUAAAGAGUCGGACAUGACUGAGUGACUCAGGACGCAUGUAUGCACCCCUAAACCAAAGCCCUCCAGGAAAGGACCCAGCAUCUCCAGGAACACAGAAGUAGAAACUCUCAUGCUGGAGAAUGACAUGAAAUAAAGUAUUAAUUACUUUAGGUAAUUAAUACUCAGGUCAAGAAGAGAACUCAGUUACCAGAAGGAAGGUUAAACAGAACCCACAGAAGUACAUGCUGAUUGUGCACUUGUGGGUGAAAACUUCACUUUCAGUGUGUGCAAAAAAAAAAAAAAAAAAAAAGGAAAAACUUAACUCUGUAGACAAUGAUGGUUUCCAGUGUAAAGUGGGGGAAUUUUCAGACCAGGGGCCACCUUAGGGGAAGAGAUCUAGCUUUCAGUCUCCUCUCCCUUUGAGCUAUUGAAACCUGCUGGGGAAAAGUGAGAGUAGACCAGACCGUACAUUUUCCUGAAAUUGACUUAAAUGUUGCUCAGGGGGUUUGGUUGUUGAUGCUUUGAGUUGUGACUAUGUGUUGACCUGCUUGGUAGUAGUGGUAGCAGUUGGAUUUUCUUUUUUAAGCUGCACGUACCCCAUUUUGGUAGCAGAUGAGCUCAUUCAUGCAAUGACUGGCUAAUAAUAAUAUCCAGGCCCUCUGUUGUGUAUGAUGGGCUGUGAGACUGAAUUGUGAAGACUCUGUCCAUUCACCCACUGAAAAAGUGCAUUUCUAGAUGGAAAUGCAACAGGCCUUCUAUUGUUCUAAAAGGAUAAAAUUAGAUGUGUUAGAGGGAUAAAGACAUGGCUCUUUGGAGAGUAGCACUGACAUGUAUACACUACCAUGUGUAAAAUAGAUGGCUAGCAGUAAGCUUCUGUAUAACACAAGGAGUUCAGUCCCAUGCUCUGUGGUGACCGAGAGGGGUGG